rnacentral:rRNA from 1 species
GACGAACGCUGGCGGCGUGCUUAACACAUGCAAGUCGAACGGACAGGCCUUGCAGUUGUGGGGUGCUCGAGUGGCGAACAGAUGAGUCACCCGUGAGUAAACUGCCCUUGACUUUGGGAUCCCUAUAGGAAACGGUGGCUAAUACCAGCUAGGACUACCUGCUGCUAGGUAGGGGUUGGAAAGGAUCAGCGGUUGAGGAUCGACGUGCGGCUUAUCGGCUUGUUGGUGGGGGAGUGCAUUACCAAGGCUUUGACGGAUAGGCGGCCUGAGAGGGUGACCGGCCACAUUGGUACUGCGAGACGGACCAGACUCCUACGGGAGGCAGCAGUCGCGAAUAUUGUGCAACAGGCGGAAGCCUGAUGCAACAACGCUGCGUGCGUGAUGACGUCUUGUUGGUUAUGAACGGUUUACGCAGUAAAUGGAGCGUGAGUGACGGUAAUGGGUAAAGAAGCACCGGCUAACUACGUG